rnacentral:lncRNA from 12 species
AUGAAAAACAAAACAGAAGAGCAAAAAUAUCCCAAAGGCAGCACAGGAGUCAACGUCCCAGGAGAAAGCAGAAAUGUUUCUUUGGAACCUGUACAUUUCAGCAGCAGAAAAUUUCCACCUGUAUCUAUGUGGCCUGAAUUGAAUCACAGAACCCAUAUCUGUGACCAUAGGAAAACCAUAUGCAGCUUGGUAAACAAGACUCAGAGAUUUGGACUCUGCCCCUUCCUCAAUGGUGGAAGAGAAGUAACAGUGAAGUUGGAGCAUUUCUGAUUAGGAGACUAAGUGUCAGAGAGGUCAUCCCACUUGUCCAAGGUCACAGUAAUUUGAGAACACAUAUACAGGCAACAGUUCACCAAAUCCAAAUGCAAAUUUAUCCCAUGAUCUGCUCCGUGGCCUGAAAAUAUGACCUUCAAAUAUCACUAAUCUUCUAAAGAACAAGAUAAUAGGAAAAUAGAAUAUCACCAGAAAGGAUAUUUUGAGAAAAAUACCAUUUACAAGUUAGUAUUUUAAAAUGAAAUGUUAUCAGCACUAAAAGGAGCUCCAACUCUCGAGGAUGACUGAUUUAUAGCUGAAACAAAGAAAAAAAUUUAAUAAGACUCCUAGUAAAUUGGUUGUUUGCACAUUGACAAAAUAAAAGUCUGAGUUGUCUGAAAAGUUAUCA